GCACCCUAAAAUGAAGCCAAAGAUAAUCCAGCAGUGAGAAGCGCGGAAUCCAGGGCUUUUUACACUGGAGCUUGGAAAGAAUAGGAGCCCGCAAUGCCCCUUCCCUCCAGUUAAAAGACAAGAAGGACAGAAGGAGGAAGAAAGAAAAGAAAAAAUGCACCUCCACACUCAUAGCAACAACCACGUGACCUGGUGGCCCAGGUUUCCAAGCAGCCAAUCUGCAUGUACACAGAGAGAUCUCCAAGAAAGAAAAGGCGCCAAAAAGCCCAGUUCUGAAUUCUUGGCGGCUCCUCCCCUGAAGCUGCCAGCGGCCCAAGUUCCCACCUAAAGUGCUCGGCUGUUGACCACACUUGGGCACAAACCCAGUUCGUGGAGGAUGCAUCAUCACCCCCUCACCUACAACCUAUAUAAUCUCCCUGCUUUCAUUUGUGGGCGUGGCUUUUCCAGCCUCGAUCUCCGGGACUGGAGAAUUCACCCGGGAGUGGCUUUGCUCAAAUAAACCUGUUGUUACAUUUUU